ACAAGUUGUCAGAGGGUGUGAGAGAGAGAGAGAGAGAAAGAGAGAGAGAGAUUGGGGCGGAGGGAGGAAGGGGGAAUCCUCUGCUUCCCAAGAGGGAGUCAAUAAUUAAAAUGCAUCAGUCAGGAAAAUGAUUCCCUCCCUCCCUCACUCUCUCUCUCUCUCUCUCUCUCUCUCUCUCUCUCUCUCUCUCUUUCUCUCUCUCUCUCUCAUGACAGCUUU
rnacentral:miRNA from 1 species